GGAGUAAAGGAAACGGAGGAGGAGGAGGAGGACACGUCAACAACGGGGCGGGGGCGGGGGGGGGGGCGAAGUAGAGAUCCUGCGUGAGAAGGGACCAAAGUGGAGGAAUCGGGAUUGCAGCCUGGUGCACGUGCUCGGUGGGCACGUGCCAGAAAAACAAAUUGCCCUCGAGGGAAAUUUGCUUUCCGAGUGGCGGUGAAAGUCCAGCAGUGGGCGCUGUGACGAUACGCCGCACGAUCUUGUCGUGGCAGCGGAUGAACUGAGGCAGCGUCAGGCCGUCCGCCACCUGCACGGCGCCUUUCUCGUCCCACUCGAAGAUCAGGUCGUUCAUCGUGUAGCCAACUGGAAACACACACACGCACGCGUUUGGCGACGUGCGGAUGCUUGGCGUGGCGUCGCCCUGCCGACGACGUGGACACGUUGCCAGUCAUGAACUUUUCUUCUUCUUGUGAUCAAAAUGUGAAGACAAAGAAAGGUCGGAAGAAGCAGGCAAAGGCUGCGGUCGCUAUGGUUACUGUCCGACAUCACGUCUUUGCGACGUCGGCGCUGCGCCGCGGCCGCUUCCCAGUCGCCUCACGUCCGCGCGUGUGUUUGUGCGUCACCGUCAACGUGUGAGCGUCUCCUAUCUGCGUGUGUGUACUAUAGCUCUCCAGCUGCAUGAUGCACGUCUGCACAUCCAUCGGGAAGUUCUUCAGGUCCAUGGGACAGGCCAGAAUCAGCGUUAUUCUGAAAACACACACACACACAGAUAUCAGCUUCCCGCUAAGAGGAUUAUGUGUUGAUCUUGAGCAAAUGAGCAAACAUCACAGGCGCGUUAUUGUUAAAAUCAUACUAGAGAAUUGCACUCGCGUUGAGAACUGGCUAAUUACAAGUGAGCGGAAUCCAAAUGCUCCAAAAACACAAGAACGGGCAGCACUGCGUGCGCUUCGUGGGUUCCAGGUUCCAACGUGGGUUUGGGCCUUCCUUAGCGGAGCCAACCGUGUUGUGCCAAGCCUUCGGGGUGAGCGCGUUAGCUCCAAUCAAUACCGGCAAAUUGCACGUAGGCUCGUUUGGCCCAACAGUGAACUCUUGAUUUAAUGGGGAGCGUCCGUUCACACACAUCUCACGGAAUGGAGAGACAACAAGUCUUUUUAAAAAGGGUCAAUUUCACUCAAACGGCCAGAAUUCAAGAAGGUGAGCCACAAUCGGUGACCAGAAUGUUGCCGUCCUUGUCAAAGAUAAACACCGGGGAGGGGAGAUCUCGCCUGUGUGGCGGCCACGUUGGGACCUUGCAUCAAGGGCAACAAAAGCAAAUCGUAAUAAGUACGCGUCUCCCGGAUUUCACUGUGGGCAUCUAUGGCCGUGGCGCUCAUCGCGCUCCGGUUUUGUCCACGUCGCGUAUCGUUCUGGAAAAACGAGAUUUUUGCACAAUUAUCGUCAAGGCCUUAAAAGGAAACGGAGCUCGAGCUUCGUGCAAAACAACCUCCAAGCAGGCCAUCGUAAGGCUUGCCGCAAACAAUGGCCGCUCAACAUCACGCGGCGCGUACGGACAGCGAGCGGUGCAGUGCGGCCUGCGCGUCUGACCCCCCCCCCGCAGCCAGAAUGCGUCAGUUCUUUUCCCCGGCGGACGCAAUAAAACGGGGAUCGUAAAAUAAGAGUCAUAAAAACGUGCCGCCGCUCCGAGCUCAAUGAAAGCAGGAGAAAAAAGGUUGUUGUUAUCUUUGCGAGAGUAAAUGCUUCUUUUGUCACAGUUUCACGAGUAAAUAAAGUCGCAAGGAUGUCGUCCUACUACCUUGACAAAGUCGUGUUUACUUCUUUUUUCCUGGUGUGAGACUAAAGUUGCUUUUUUGAGGGGAACAAAAGGAGAAGAAAUAACA